GAGGCUUCUCCGGACUCUUGAGUUUUGUCCUUGGUGAGACAUGAGGCUUGUAAACAUCGUCAAGGAAGGAUCUACCCACAAUUCACUUUGAAUUCUACACAAUGCCGAGUCCAUCACUUUGUAUAAAUUCUUAUUAGCUACAGCCUGGGAAUGCCUACAGUCCAGUUU
rnacentral:lncRNA from 1 species